rnacentral:rRNA from 1 species
GACGAACGCUGGCGGCGUGCUUAACACAUGCAAGUCGAACGGAAAGGCCCUGCUUUUGUGGGGUGCUCGAGUGGCGAACGGGUGAGUAACACGCGAGUAACCUGCCCUUGACUUUGGGAUAACUUCAGGAAACUGGGGCUAAUACCGGAUAGGAGCUCCUGCUGCAUGGUGGGGGUUGGAAAGUUUCGGCGGUUGGGGAUGGACUCGCGGCUUAUCAGCUUGUUGGUGGGGUAGUGGCUUACCAAGGCUUUGACGGGUAGCCGGCCUGAGAGGGUGACCGGCCACAGUGGGAGUGAGAGACGGCGCAGGCUGCGAGGGGCGGGAGAACGGGGCAAUGGCGAACGGUGGGCGGAAGCCUGGUGCAGCAAGGCCGGGUGCGGGACUAGGGCGUGGGGGUUGUAACCCGCGGUCCACGGUGAAGAGGAGGUAGGGACGUGACGGAGUAAAGAAGCACCUGCCAAAUACGUGACAGCAGCGGCGGUAAUAAGCGGACGACCACACGCCUCAAC